rnacentral:rRNA from 1 species
UACGUAGGGUGCGAGCGUUAAUCGGAAUUACUGGGCGUAAAGCGUGCGCAGGCGGCCCUGCAAGUCAGACGUGAAAUCCCCGGGCUUAACCUGGGAAUGGCGUUUGAAACUAUGGGGCUGGAGUGUGGCAGAGGGAGGUAGAAUUCCACGUGUAGCGGUGAAAUGCGUAGAUAUGUGGAGGAAUACCGAUGGCGAAGGCAGCCCCCUGGACCAACACUGACGCUCAUGCACGAAAGCGUGGGGAGCAAACAGG